rnacentral:rRNA from 1 species
UACGUAGGGUGCGAGCGUUGUCCGGAAUUAUUGGGCGUAAAGAGCUCGUAGGCGGUCUGUCGCGUCGGUCGUGAAAACUGGAGGCUCAACCUUCAGAGGUCGACCGAAACCCCCUGGCUAGAGUCCGGGAGAGGAGAGUGGAAUUCCUGGUGUAGCGGUGAAAUGCGCAGAUAUCAGGAAGAACACCCGUGGCGAAAGCGGCUCUCUGGAACGGUACUGACGCUGAGACGCGAAAGCGUGGGGAGCGAACAGG